AUGACUUUGAUCUGCGUCCUCAUCUGGACUCUCCUCUGCUGCUGCUUCACAGAGUCCAGAGGCCAGUACACAGUGACUCAGCCUGGAGCAGUGAGCUCUGCUCUGGGAGGCUUCGUCCCCAUCAAAUGUAGGAUCAGUGAGGAUGUUGAAAUUUGGAACAACUUACACCGGUUAGCCUGGUACCAACAGAGAGAUGGAGAAACUCCUAAACUCCUCAUUUACAAUGCUAACAAUCGAGCAUCAGGGAUUCCAGGUCGUUUUACAGGCAGUGGAUCAAACUCUGACUUCACUCUGACCAUCAGUGGAGUCCAGACUGAAGAUGCAGCAGUUUACUACUGUCAGAGUUAUCAUUAUAUCAACAGUCAAGCUGUGUUCACACAGUGA